rnacentral:lncRNA from 1 species
GCUGUGGCGUAGGCUGGCGGAUACAGCUCAGAUUCAACUCCUAGCCUGGGAACUAUGCUGCCCUAAAAAGACCAAAAAAGAAAAAAAAUUUUUUUUUCACUUACAAUAUCAUCUAGCUGCAGACAGACAGGAUCCUCGUCUCUCCCAAACCUGAGAACCAACACCUUCUCUGCAGUACUUUUUAUCGCCUGGUCUACUUCCUUUUUGCUGCUCAGCUUGGGUAACAGGAAGCUCAUGUUGAAAUAACCCAAAUAUCAAUCCUCACUGUCAGUCCUGAAAUAAAGCUGUGAUAUUUAAAGAGAAAGUAAAAUGCAUAAGUCCCAAUUUAAAUUAUUUUCAUUAUUGGAGUAGGUAUCAUAUUUUUUUUCCAGAGGAAAAAAGGUUUCAUACAACAUAUUAAAAAAGUAGAAGAAGCACAUAAAUGUGUAAACUGGUGGCAAGUCCAUUGUUUAAAAAGAGACUACAGAAAAAGGAGUCUUGGAGUUCAUGUCGUGGCGCAAUGGAAACGAAUCCAAUUAAGAACCAUGAGGUUGCAGGUUCGAUCCUUGGCCCCACUCAGUGGGUUAAGGAUCUGGCGUUGCCAUGAGCUGUGGUGUAGGUCGCAGACUCGGCUUGGAUCUGGCGUUGCUGUGGCUGUGGUGUAGGCCGCAGACUCGUCUUGGAUCUGGCGUUGCUGUGGCUGUGGUGUAGGCCAGCAGCUGUAGCUCCGAUACGACCCUUAGCCUGGGAACCUCCAUAUGCCGCAGGGGUGGCCCUAAAAAGCAAAAAAAAAAAAAAAAAAAAAAAAAAAAGGAAAAGAGUCCCGAGCAACAUCUCCCUCUGUCUCCUCUCAAGUGGCCUAGCUCCCAGUGCCCAGUAAAUAGUUACCAGGUAACUACUUCAAUUAAUGUCUUCAGAAUCUUCCAGGGUUUUGUUACACAUUCACAAGAAAACACCAGCAUGUGUUCUUAUGUUUUCUCCCUUUUUCACCCCAAAGAUAGCAUAUUCCAGCAGUCAGUAUUCCAGAAGGAAAGAGCGGACACCUUCAAACUUGGUAAUCAGAAGCCUCUCAUUAAGGCAGGGGACAGGAAACCAGUAGGUGUAGUGCAGUACCCUGGGCUAGAAACAGCGACAGUGCGAGCAGUUCUAGAACUGCGUGGCUGAUAUUGCUGAACGGAGAGGGCCGCUAUCCAGGAUGUCAGGCUGCAGCUAAAGGACGCAGCCACUCUCCUCCCGCCCUCUGCUCACCUGCUAAUGCUUCCAAUGGUGAUUCCAAUUGGAACAAAGAGGGUAGGGGAGCUGCAGAGGCCAACAAGCCUCCUUGUCCAGGGCAGUUUAGAGAAGGGGAAAGAGUGGAUAGAAGGGGCACACGGCAGACGUCCAGCACACAUAGUCUACCCACUCCUCUGUACUUUGAACUUGACCUCACAUAUGAAGAUCUUCUCUUAUCUCUAAGCAGAAAACCCACACAUUCUUUGUCAUAGCAGCAUGCUGUGUCAGGCAUGUUCACUGAGGGCCAUUUGUACCAUCAUGACUCCUGGCUUAAAGAUUUUGGUAUAUCACAUCACAUGGCAAAUGGACAAACUGAGAGUGUGUAAAAACGACACACACACC